GCAUGUGCGGCGGCCAUUCCCGCGCGCCAUGGCCGAGACAGACGCUAACCUGUUGCGCCACUUCCCGCUGCUGCUUCCUCAGAACCGGGAGAAAACUGUGUAUGAGGGAUUCAUUUCGGCUCAGGGAAGUGACUACCACCUCAAAAUAGUGCUGCCUAAAGAUCUGCAGCUGAAGAACGCAAGAUUACUGUGUAGCUGGCAAUUGAAAAAUAUACUUAAUGAAUACCAUCAGAUAGUCCAACAGAGAAUGAAGCAGUCUCCUGAUCUAGUGAGCUUUAUGAUGGAGUUGAAGAUGAUUUUGGAAGCUGCUUUAAAGCAUAGACAAGAGUUGUGCAUACAACCACCUUCUCGCGGUUUCUGCACCGACCUUCUUAGAGAGAUAGGAGCUGUUGGUUGGGAUAAACUUGUGUGUGUGGAUACUUCCUUCAGUACCAUCAAGCUACAAGCAGAGGAUACCUCUGGUAGAAAACAUGUGAUCACCGUCAAGUUGAAGGCAAAGUAUCCUGUAGAGCCACCAGAUUGUGUUGUAGAUUUUCCUGUUCCGUUUUCUAUUUCCUGGACACCACAGAGCUCCUUGGUAGAUGUGCAUGCUCAGUUCUUGGCAGCAUUGGAGUCGCUGAAGGCAUUCUGGGAUGCUAUGGAUGAAAUUGAUGAGAAGACCUGGGUGCUGGAACCAGAAAAACCUCCCCGGAGUGCGACGGCACGCAGGAUCGCAUUAGGGCAUAAUGUUUCCAUCCACAUAGAGGUAGACCCCAGGCACCCUACCAUGCUUCCUGAGUUUUGCUUUCUUGGAGCUGACCAUGUGGUAAAACCCCUAGGAGUCAAGCUUAGUGGGAACAUACACUUAUGGGAUCCAGAAAGUAGUCUCUUACAAAAUUUGAAAGAUGUUUUAGAAAUUGAUUUCCCAGCUCGUGCUGUUUUGGAAGAAUCUGUAACAUUUAUAUCAAUGAACUUGCUGACCCCCACCAGGACUUUAGCAUGGACUGUGGAAUCUGUUAUGCCCGUCAUCUUAAUGGUGCCAUUCCUGAUCAAGUAUGUGAUAACCCCCAGUGUGGACAGCCUUUCCAUCAAAUAUGCUUAUAUGAGUGGCUGAGGGGACUGAGCACCAGCAGACAGAGCUUCAACAUCUUCUUUGGUGAAUGUCCCUAUUGCAGCAAGCCGAUUACCUUGAGAAUGUCUGUGAGAAAACCCUGAAGAAUGAGGCACACCUGUGAAGAGAAGAAAUCCUAAUAAAUUUUUUUUUAAAAAAGCAA